rnacentral:rRNA from 1 species
UACGUAGGGACCAAGCGUUGUUCGGAUUUACUGGGCGUAAAGGGCGCGUAGGCGGCAAUUCAAGUCAUCUGUGAAAUCUCCGGGCUUAACCCGGAACGGUCAGGUGAUACUGUUUUGCUAGAGUGCGGAAGGGGCAAUCGGAAUUCUCGGUGUAGCGGUGAAAUGCGUAGAUAUCGAGAGGAACACCAGAGGUGAAGACGGGUUGCUGGGCCGACACUGACGCUGACAGCGCGAAAGCUAGGGGAGCGAACGGG